rnacentral:rRNA from 1 species
UACGUAGGGUGCGAGCGUUAAUCGGAAUUACUGGGCGUAAAGCGUGCGCAGGCGGUUACAUAAGACAGAUGUGAAAUCCCCGGGCUUAACCUGGGAACUGCGUUUGUGACUAUGUGACUAGAGUACGGCAGAGGGGGGUGGAAUUCCUGGUGUAGCAGUGAAAUGCGUAGAUAUCAGGAGGAACAUCGAUGGCGAAGGCAGCCCCCUGGGAUAACACUGACGCUCAUGCACGAAAGCGUGGGGAGCAAACAGG